AGAAAGAAAGAAAGAAAGAAAGAAAGAGAGAAAGAAAGAGAGAAAGAGAGAGAGAAAGAGAGAAAGAAAGAAAGAAAGAAAGAGAGAGAGAAAGAAAGAAAGAAAGAAAGAGAGAGAGAAAGAAAGAAAGAAAGAAAGAAAGAAAGAAAGAAAGAAAGAAAGAAAGAAAGAAAGAAAGAAAGAAAGAAGAAAGCAAGCAAGCUGGGGAUACGAUCCUGUCCAGUUUUCUAUUAAAUACAAGUUAACUGUUGGUGAACGUCUUGCUUUUAGUUUUGAUUCCAGUUCAUCCUAGUAGCAUCCAAAAUGGAGAUGGUGGAGAAGUGACUUUGGCCACCCCACAGUCAGCUCUGGGUGUGAAGAACUGAAGUCUCCUGACUCAUGAGUGGAAGCUGGCAGUGAGGGAGAAAGAGCCAGGUUGGACUCUGAAUGUCAUUUCCUUUACAGAAAAAAAAAAAAAAAUCCCAUUGUUGGCAAGCAAGUGGCAGAAACCAAUUUAGAAAUCAUCUCUGAUUUCUCUAUAUAAAAAUUCCUUCUGCAGUUGGAUCCACAUAUACUACAUCAUAGGCACAGGAACUCACUGUAGAUGAGCAUCAGCGUUAUUUAGGUAAGGGAUGAGUACAAAAAUCACAUGCUAAGUAUGUUAAAACGUAAAUGGUGAUGGGGCAAAGUAAAACAAAUUUAUCUGAGCUGGGGAUGAGCCGUAGUGAAGAAAAUGAUGGUAGAUGACGAGCUGUAUUCAGAACACCUCCACCACCUGUUUCCAUGGGAAAACAAGGCAGCAGCCGAACCAGCAACAGAAAUCUUGGCAGCUUUCAAGAAAAGCAAUACCACACCCCGUAGGCUUGGUGAGCUAUGAAUAACACCAAGGUUCAACUUUACAUGCUAGCACAGGAUAUACUGUCAUCUACAAUUCAAAUCUUUACUUAGGAGUUUAUUGGGUUCAUUAUCAAGAGAGAACAACAAAGAAGUGUUUGAAGACUGGAUCCAGUGAGACCUGGUUUUCUACAGAUUUAUGGCUUGAGGCUCAGCACCUAAGAGGACUUUGUACUGCCUAACAGCAGUUACGCUCACAUUGUACAUUUUCCCCCAGCUGGGAACGGUAAUAGGGUCUUUCCUACCCAUAUUUCCACCUUCUUGUAACUCAGAGAAAGUUUUUAUCUUUCACAUCUUUGGCCCUCUGUCAAAGUUGCUUAAAUUGACUGGUGAAUUUAAAAACUGUUGAGAUUACCUGGACUGAAAAUCAACAAAAGUGAUGGAAUUAGCCUUGCUUCCUUAGCAAACUCAAAGCUAAUCAACACUACGUUAGAGGGACAGAAACUUCAGACUUCAAAAUGGAAUCAAACAGCAGCAGAAAGAAUGACCUUUUCAAAGCCAGGUCCUUACUAAAUGCGCUCCUAGGAUGAAGGGAGGGAACCCACGAACACAUAGCAUCCAGCAUGACUUGUUUUCCAUCUGGCAGAUCAACCAGCAGAAACCAGUCUGGGACCAGGUUCAGGGGACUGCCCUUCGCUUGCAGUCGGUUUCAGAGCUGCCUCAGUGAUGGGCUAAUGAGGUUCACCCACUGCCAGGCACCUCCCUGCGACUGAGAGCCACUGUACUGCAAAGCAAAGAGAACAACUUUGAUACUCUCUGGAGGUGAGACGGCAAGUGCAGCUGCGAGGCUCAAAAAGAAAGCACCAGAAAGCAGAGUAUGAGCUACUGCUUGUCAUUUAGCAGAGGCAAACGUGAGCACAACCGAAACAACAGAGUGAUCACAACAGCGUUAUCCGAUUAGCAGCACCUGCAACCAACAGAAACAGAUCUUCAAAUGGAGCUGUCAGCCGCCGUUGCAACACCAAGUGUGCUACAACACACUGAGUGGGAAUAAGGAGCAGUGGUGUAAGAGGUGCAAUUGCAAGAGCACUGAAGGGACACUUGGCAGCGCUUGCGUGCCUGAAAUUAGAUCUGCCCAUCUCGUGCAUGGGUGCGUGGGGGGUGCCAGGUGGGAUUACAAUGAGGCUCUGCUUUCCCGUAAGGCAAAAAAUGUAUUCAAGUUCAGCCAAGAUAUAUGGGUUUAUAUACAAUGAUAUUAUUACUGUUGUUAUUGUGAUACAUGGCAUAAUAACUGCCUUUUACACACAUACCCAGACACGUGUACCGCCAUGCACUUAUUUUCUUUGUUACGAAAAAUAUUCAGCAUAUUGAAAUGUCACCAAAGUAUAGUUUAUCUGAUCGUAUUUCUUCCAUGAAGGGUAAGUGGU
ensembl:lncRNA